ACUGAAAAUCGAUCGUCAUUUUUCCGUUAACUAUAUAUAUAUACAGCCGUCGAGCCGUGAACGAAAUCGUGAAGGAACAAUCAGAGCUAAGGCUAUGCGUGAUCAUUUGUGAUAGACCAAAUCAGCACGUGUUUCUUUAUCGGUGAAAUAUGCGGUGCUCGUGAGAUAUCAAGCGAGAAAGCUUUUUUGCUUUUUUUUGGUGAACUCGAGUGUCCAGAUUCCUCUUUUUCUCCCUUGUUUUUUCUUUUUUUCCUCGCGGAUAACAUGCCAAUUUGGAAAAUUGUUUAAAAAUUGGUAAAAGUUUUCGCUAAGAGCACGGAGAAGGUUGGCAACCCUUCCCUUCGUUUCCCUCCUCGAACAUGGAUAAUCGAAGAUUCGCGAUUGUGCAAAGCGCGUAGGAUAAUAUCAAGCUAAGAGCAUUCCAUAAACGAUAUAAUAUACUACGGACUCACGUGUAAGGUAGCUAUGGAAGAAGCGAUUAAUCGACGUUACCGCACACAGAACGGACGCUUUCCUAUAACUGCAGUUACAGAAACGUAAAUAAAAGAAGCACAUUGAUGCAAAUGCGCGUGUACAAGUUGAGUGGAUGGAUGGAACGAUGGCGAAGAAGAAAGAGGAUCGAAAGUCGUGAGUGAAGGUUUUCUUUUUUUCUUUUUCUUUUUGUCUACUCACAUCGACAUCUCCCAUCAUUUCUUUGGUAGAAACGGUGGUAUCGAUACGUCGUAUGCUGCCCUGGUGAAUGUCAACGUCCAACUUGACGCAUUGGAACCGCCUCAAAAGGAAUACAAUCGGUAUUGGCGCGAUGCCCGCAAAAAUGAUGACGACCGCUAUAGCCAACACCCAGCCGGGAUACGCGGUGGGUACAGCUAUGCCCUGAAAACAAAGGAAGGGGAAAAAAAAAAGAAAGGAAGAAAUGUCGAGGUCGUGACGUAGGUAUUUUGGCAACGAGAUAUAUGGGUCACGAGAUAAUAUUUUCCGCUACUCACCCGUGACGCAUCCCACGCGGAAUAUUGAGGCUUUUUCACAACCAUGGAGAUUAUACUGGAGACAAGGAUGCAGACCAUGAUUAUGGGAGCGAGAAAUCGCCAAGUGAAUUGCCAAUACGCCCCUGGUCUGUACCCCGUCAUCUCCUCUAUAUCUUUCGUGAAUCUGAGAAAGAAAAGGAUUUGGUUUCAAUUCGUUUCGUUUAUUUGAACGAAAGUGAGAUAGUAUUUCGAUCGUACUUUUCGUGGCCGUAAACAAAGAUGACGGAAAUCAUUUCCAUGAGCGCGACCAUCACGAGACCGAUGGUACCCGCGAAACUGUCGAACAUCUUCAGCCAAUAUUCUCCGGCUCCGGUACAGAAUAUUAAACCAACAAAGAAGCACACCGUGCAAACUACCCCUAAGAAAAAAAAGGAUCGUUUAACAUCAUUGAAAAUGUUUUAAAUCCCUCCCCUAUUUUGUAGCUUUCCAUAGCGAAAAAAAGUAUCCCCGAUGGAUCUCCCUACCUGUCAUGUAUUGCUUUUUUAUUCUCUUGAACAGAUCUAUGUCGAAGAUGACGCACAGCAUGCCCUCUAGUAUACCGAUUUGGGAACCGAGACCGAGAGCUAGAAGCAUCAGAAAGAAAAUACAGGACCAGAAAGGAGCGCCUGGUAGCUCGACUAUCGCCUGUGUGAACACUAUGAAAGCUAAUCCCGUUCCUUCGGCAGCCUGAAACCGAUUUUCUUGUUUAAAAAUAAUUAUACAAAAGAAAAUUAGAAAUAAGAUAUUUAUCGUAUAAUUACGUUGUCCAAUUGUUCGCUCAGGCUACACGUUUCAAGGGUGAAAUUCAUUUUUGUUACAUUGAGAUUAUUUACAAUAUCCUUGUAUUUCUCCAUGGUGGUGUUCUGAUAGGCAAAUCCGUGUUGAACGAGUAAGUCUUUAUUACUGGAACAAAAAGGAAAUCAAAGUUGGAACGAUGA